rnacentral:rRNA from 1 species
CGACUUUCGAACGCAUAUUGCAGCCAUUGGAUAGCCGAUGGCUUCGUUUGUCUGAGCGUCGUUAUCAAAUUAUGACCAAACAAAAUGGGAUAGAUCUGUUUUGUCGUGCAUACGUCGUCAGGUCAUUUCCAAACAUUUGAUAUGCUGACUUUUGUGGUGAAGAAGGCUUUGUAGCACAUUCACUCACAAGAGGUAUUUAGCGUUUCCAGCUAAACACCUCGAAUGUGUGCCUUGCAUAACCAAAAUAUAGUCGCAAAUCAUUGUGCAAAACAAAACGUCUAAUUUCGACCUCAGAUCAAGCGAGAUUACCCCCUGAAUUUAAGG